UCCGGUUUAUCACCGGCAGUCUCCUUUGAGUUCCCGGCCGAACCGCUGGCAACAAAGGAUAAGGGUUGCGCUCGUUGCGGGACUUAACCCAACAUUUCACAACACGAGCUGACGACAGCCAUGCAGCACCUGUCUCAGAGUUCCCGAAGGCACUCCCGCAUCUCUGCAGGAUUCUCUGGAUGUCAAGACCAGGUAAGGUUCUUCGCGUUGCAUCGAAUUAAACCACAUGCUCCACCGCUUGUGCGGGCCCCCGUCAAUUCAUUUGAGUUUUAACCUUGCGGCCGUACUCCCCAGGCGGUCGACUUAACGCGUUAGCUCCGGAAGCCACGCCUCAAGGGCACAACCUCCAAGUCGACAUCGUUUACGGCGUGGACUAC
rnacentral:misc_RNA from 1 species